rnacentral:rRNA from 1 species
UGAAUACGAGACGCUACGGCGUCGAAGCAGUCUAUGUCAUACUUCCAAGAAAAGCUUGCACUGUCAUAAACAAAUAAUGCCUGUACCAUAACCGACACAGGUGGGUAGGUAGAGUAUACUAAGGGGCGCGAGAUAACUCUCUCUAAGGAACUCGGCAAAAUGACUCCGUAACUUCGGGAGAAGGAGUGCCUUAUUCGUAAGGUUGCAAUAACAAGAUCCAAGCAACUGUUUAUCAAAAACACAGGUCUCCGCUAAGUCGUAAGACGAUGUAUGGGGGCUGACGCCUGCCCAGUGCCAGAAGGUUAAAGAAGUUGGUUAGCAUUCGCGAAGCUGAUAACUGAAGCCCUGGUGAACGGCGGCCGUAACGAUAACGGUCCUAAGGUAGCGAAAUUCCUUGUCGGGUAAGUUCCGACCCGCACGAAAGGCGUAAUGAUUUGGAUACUGUCUCGGAGAGAGGCUCGGUGAAAUAGACUUGUCUGUGAAGAUGCGGACUACCUGCACCUGGACAGAAAGACCCUAUGAAGCUUUACUGUAACUUGAAAUUGAAAUUGGACUUUAUUUGCGCAGUAUAGGUGGGAGGCGUUGAGAAUAUUCUUGCGGGAAUAUUGGAGCCAUCAGUGAGAUACCACUCUUGUAAUGUUAGAUUUCUAACUUUGGAUCAUUAUCUGGUCAAAGGACAGUUUCAGGCGGGCAGUUUGACUGGGGCGGUCGCCUCCCAAACGGUAACGGAGGCGUACAAAGGUUUCCUCUGAACGGGUAGAAAUCGUAUCUAGAGUGUAAAGGCAUAAGGAAGCUUGACUGUGAGACCUACAAGUCGAGCAGGGACGAAAGUCGGUCUUAGUGAUCUGACGGUGCUGAGUGGAAAGGCCGUCACUCAACGGAUAAAAGUUACUCUAGGAUAACAGGCUGAUCUCCCCCAAGAGUUCACAUCGACGGGGAGGUUUGGCACCUCGAUGUCGGCUCAUCGCAUCCUGGGGCGGUAGUACGUCCCAAGGGUUGGGCUGUUCGCCCAUGAAAGCGGUACGCGAGCUGGGUUCAGAACGUCGUGAGACAGUUCGGUCCAUAUCCGGUGUAGGCGUUAGAAUAUUGAGAGGAGCCUUCUUUAGUACGAGAGGACCGAGAAGGACAUACCUCUGGUGUACCAGUUAUCGUGCCAACGGUAAACGCUGGGUAGCUAUGUAUGGAGAGGAUAACCGCUGAAAGCAUCUAAGUGGGAAGCCCACCUCAAGAUAAGUAUUCUC